rnacentral:ncRNA from 1 species
GAACUCAGAGGAGCCAACCCUAGUAUGAGACAAUAGGGUUGGAUCAACCUAUGGCGUCCUAGUUGUUAUGCCAGUAGCAGCGCUGAGCAGCUAAGUUGGUAUGGAAAAACUAUUGCGUGGUGGAAAGUCCUUCUCUAUACAGGUUC